CAGUAGCCGCGGGAAAACGUAGGUGGCAAGCGUUGUCCGGAUUUAUUGGGCGUAAAGCGAGCGCAGGCGGUCAAUUAAGUCUGAUGUGAAAGCCCCCGGCUCAACCGGGGAGGGUCAUUGGAAACUGGUUGACUUGAGUGCAGAAGAGGAGAGUGGAAUUCCAUGUGUAGCGGUGAAAUGCGUAGAUAUAUGGAGGAACACCAGUGGCGAAGGCGACUCUCUGGUCUGUAACUGACGCUGAGGCGCGAAAGCGUGGGGAGCAAACAGGAUUAGAUACCCGCGUAGUCCCUGUCUCUUAUAA
rnacentral:rRNA from 1 species